rnacentral:rRNA from 1 species
GACGAAGGGGGCUAGCGUUGUUCGGAAUUACUGGGCGUAAAGCGCGUGUAGGCGGUUGUUCAAGUCAGGUGUGAAAGCCUUGAGCUCAACUCAAGAAAUGCACUUGAUACUGGAUGACUAGAGGACCGGAGAGGAUAGUGGAAUCCCCAGUGUAGUGGUGAAAUACGUAGAGAUUGGGAAGAACACCAGUGGCGAAGGCGGCUAUCUGGACGGUUUCUGACGCUAAGACGCGAAAGCGUGGGGAGCAAACAGG